rnacentral:ncRNA from 1 species
GUAUGGUUUGCCCGUCGCUGCAAAUUCAGCGAUCGGGCUUGGCCGCUCGAGGA